rnacentral:misc_RNA from 1 species
UUUCCGUAGGUGAACCUGCGGAGGGAUCAUUAUCGUACAAAAUGUGUGUGGGAUGCCAGGGCUGUCGCUGGUCCGUAAGUCGUGCACGCCCGGGUGAGUCCUCUUGCAUUAUAAUCCAUCCCACCCUUUGUGCAUCACCGCGUAGGCACCCUCCGGGAUCACGUCGGAGGGGCGCUCGCGUAUUCACACAAACUCCCCUAUUAAAAGUGUAGAAUGACCACAUUUAUGCAAUCAAUACAACUUUCAACAACGGAUCUCUUGGCUCUC